rnacentral:rRNA from 1 species
GUCCACGCCGUAAACGAUGAUCACUAGAUGUGGGUCUGGCAUAGCCGGGUCUGUGUCGUAGCAAACGCGCUAAGUGGUCCGCCUGGGAAUUACGGUCGCAAGAUUAAAACUCAAAGGAAUUGACGGGGGUCCGCACAAGCGGUGGAACAUGUUGUUUAAUUCGACACUACGCGAGGAACCUUACCUGGGUUUGACAUGUAACUGCCACUGAUAGAAAUAUUGGGUUCUGUAGCAAUACAGACGGUUACACAGGUGCUGCAUGGCUGUCGU